rnacentral:rRNA from 1 species
AGAGUUUGAUCAUGGCUCAGAAUCAACGCUGGCGGCGUGCCUAACACAUGCAAGUCGAACGAGAAAGUGGAGCAAUCCAUGAGUAAAGUGGCGCACGGGUGAGUAACACGUGACUAACCUGCCCUUGAGUGGGGAAUAACCUGGAGAAAUCCGGGCUAAUACCGCAUAACACCUACGGGUCAAAGGAGCAAUUCGCUUAAGGAGGGGGUCGCGGCAGAUCAGCUAGUUGGCGGGGUAAUGGCCCACCAAGGCGGUGAUCUGUAUCCGGCCUGAGAGGGCGCACGGACACACUGGAACUGAAACACGGUCCAGACUCCUACGGGAGGCAGCAGUGGGGAAUUUUGCGCAAUGGGGGAAACCCUGACGCAGCAACGCCGCGUGGAGGAUGAAGUCUCUUGGGACGUAAACUCCUUUCGAUCGGGACGAUUAUGACGGUACCGGAAGAAGAAGCCCCGGCUAACUUCGUGCCAGCAGCCGCGGUAAUACGAGGGGGGCAAGCGUUGUUCGGAAUUAUUGGGCGUAAAGGGUGCGUAGGCGGUUCGGUAAGUCUUGUGUGAAAUCUUCGGGCUCAACUCGAAGUCUGCACCAGAAACUGCCGGGCUUGAGUGUGGGAGAGGUGAGUGGAAUUUCCGGUGUAGCGGUGAAAUGCGUAGAUAUCGGAAGGAACACCUGUGGCGAAAGCGGCUCACUGGACCACAACUGACGCUGAUGCACGAAAGCUAGGGGAGCAAACAGGAUUAGAUACCCUGGUAGUCCUAGCCCUAAACGAUGAUCGCUUGGUGUGGCGGGUACCCAAUCCCGUCGUGCCGAAGCUAACGCGUUAAGCGAUCCGCCUGGGGGAGUACGGUCGCAAGGCUGAAACUCAAAAGGAAUUGACGGGGGGCCCGCACAAGCGGGGGGAGCAUGUGGGUUUAAUUCGACGCAACGCGAAAGAACCUUACCUGGGGCUCGAAAUGGAAUGGAACCGCGG